rnacentral:rRNA from 1 species
GAUGAACGCUGGCGGCGUGCCUAAUACAUGCAAGUCGAGCGAACAGACGCGGCGCUUGCUCCUCUGUCGUUAGCGGCGGACGGGUGAGUAACACGUGGAUAACCUCCCUAUAAGUCUGGGAUCACUUCGGGAAACCGGAGCUUAUACCGGAUAAUAUAUUGAACCGCAUGGUUCAAUAGUGAAAGACGGUUUUGCUGUCACUUAUAGCUGGAUCCCAGCGGCAUUAGCUAGUUGGUACGGUAAAGGCUUACCAAGGCAACGACGCGUAGCCGAGCUGAGAGGGGGAUCGGCGACACUGGAACUGAGACAGCGUCCAGACUCCUACGGGAGGCAGCAGUAGGGAAUCGGCCGCAAUGGGCGAAAGCUUUACGGAGCAACGCCGCGUGAGUGAUGAAGGUCUUCGGAUCGUAAAACUCUGUUAUUAGGGAAGAACAAUUGUGGAAUGAACUAUGCACGGCUUGACGGUACCGGAUCAGAAAGCCACGGCUAACUACGUG